UCCGGGAUGGUCUAACGGUUCAUGAUUUCCGCUUGUCAUCCGAAUAGGAGCAAGCGCGGGAGACCGGGGUUCGACUCCCCGUCCCGGAG
rfam:Byssochlamys spectabilis No. 5 DNA, contig: PVAR5_00047_3.